AAACCAGCACCUCAAGUGGUCAGGAGGAUUAUUGGGCCUAAAGCAUCCGUAGCCUGUUCUAUAAGUUUUCGGUUAAAUCCAUUAGCUCAACUAAUGGGCCGCCGAAAAUACUGUGGAACUAGGGAGUGGGAGAGGUAGACGGUACUCGGUAGGAAGGGGUAAAAUCCUUUGAUCUAUUGAUGACCACCUGUGGCGAAGGCGGUCUACCAGAACACGUUCGACGGUGAGGGAUGAAAGCUGGGGGAGCAAACCGGAUUAGAAACCCGAGUAGUCC
rnacentral:rRNA from 1 species